rnacentral:siRNA from 1 species
UCUUCACCUCUCUCUCUUUUC